rnacentral:rRNA from 1 species
AUGCUCAAGUUCUCCGGAAGCAGUGAUCUCGAAGAAUAUCUCUCAUGGGCAUUGAAAGUCAACAAGAUAUUCCGUCUUCACAACUACGACGAGGAAAAGAAUAUCGCCAUGGCAUCUCUUGAAUUUCAAGACUAUGUUCUCAUUUGGUGGGAACAAGUGAUCGAGCGACGCCACGAGAAGGACGAGCCACCCAUCAUGACUUGGACACAAAUGAAGGACGUCAUGCGAGCCCGCUUCGUGCCCACAUACUACACACGUGAUAUCUUCAAGAAGUUGCAACCUCUCAAGCAAGGCGCGAAGACGGUGGAAGAAUACUAUCAAGAAAAGGAGAUCGCCAUGAUACGAGACAAUGUCAAAGAAGAUGAUGAGCAAACAAUGGAACGCUUCUUGAACGGCCUCAACCACCCAAUAUAG